rnacentral:rRNA from 1 species
AUUGAACGCUGGCGGCAGGCCUAACACAUGCAAGUCGAGCGGUAGCACAGAGAGCUUGCUCUCGGGUGACGAGCGGCGGACGGGUGAGUAAUGUCUGGGAAACUGCCUGAUGGAGGGGGAUAACUACUGGAAACGGUAGCUAAUACCGCAUAACGUCGCAAGACCAAAGUGGGGGACCUUCGGGCCUCAUGCCAUCAGAUGUGCCCAGAUGGGAUUAGCUAGUAGGUGGGGUAACGGCUCACCUAGGCGACGAUCCCUAGCUGGUCUGAGAGGAUGACCAGCCACACUGGAACUGAGACACGGUCCAGACUCCUACGGGAGGCAGCAGUGGGGAAUAUUGCACAAUGGGCGCAAGCCUGAUGCAGCCAUGCCGCGUGUGUGAAGAAGGCCUUCGGGUUGUAAAGCACUUUCAGCGGGGAGGAAGGCGUUAAGGUUAAUAACCUUGGCGAUUGACGUUACCCGCAGAAGAAGCACCGGCUAACUCCGUGCCAGCAGCCGCGGUAAUACGGAGGGUGCAAGCGUUAAUCGGAAUUACUGGGCGUAAAGCGCACGCAGGCGGUCUGUCAAGUCGGAUGUGAAAUCCCCGGGCUCAACCUGGGAACUGCAUUCGAAACUGGCAGGCUAGAGUCUUGUAGAGGGGGGUAGAAUUCCAGGUGUAGCGGUGAAAUGCGUAGAGAUCUGGAGGAAUACCGGUGGCGAAGGCGGCCCCCUAGACAAAGACUGACGCUCAGGUGCGAAAGCGUGGGGAGCAAACAGGAUUAGAUACCCUGGUAGUCCACGCCGUAAACGAUGUCGAUUUGGAGGUUGUGCCCUUGAGGCGUGGCUUCCGGAGCUAACGCGUUAAAUCGACCGCCUGGGGAGUACGGCCGCAAGGUUAAAACUCAAAUGAAUUGACGGGGGCCCGCACAAGCGGUGGAGCAUGUGGUUUAAUUCGAUGCAACGCGAAGAACCUUACCUGGUCUUGACAUCCACAGAACUUAGCAGAGAUGCUUUGGUGCCUUCGGGAACUGUGAGACAGGUGCUGCAUGGCUGUCGUCAGCUCGUGUUGUGAAAUGUUGGGUUAAGUCCCGCAACGAGCGCAACCCUUAUCCUUUGUUGCCAGCGGUCCGGCCGGGAACUCAAAGGAGACUGCCAGUGAUAAACUGGAGGAAGGUGGGGAUGACGUCAAGUCAUCAUGGCCCUUACGACCAGGGCUACACACGUGCUACAAUGGCAUAUACAAAGAGAAGCGACCUCGCGAGAGCAAGCGGACCUCAUAAAGUAUGUCGUAGUCCGGAUUGGAGUCUGCAACUCGACUCCAUGAAGUCGGAAUCGCUAGUAAUCGUAGAUCAGAAUGCUACGGUGAAUACGUUCCCGGGCCU